rnacentral:lncRNA from 1 species
GUAGGAAGCGGCAGGGGCGCCGGACCCUUGGAUUGGAUGGCACGAAGACCUCACGGAGAGAGGUGACAGAUGAAAUCAGUCACCAUGGGGCCCAUGAGGACCACUGCAUGUCCUUAGGGCCACAUUCCAGAUGUCAUGAAGUCCUCAUCCCUUCAGCCAAAGCAGCCUCUCUGAUGAGUUGGGCCUAAAGAGGUGGAG